CUCCAGUCGAGAAAUAUCACAAACAAGCCUCAGAGAAACUCACUUCUCACAUCCAGGAAGCCUUUGCAACUUCAUAAUGCAACGCAAGCAGAUGAAGAAGAGUCUCACUCUUUUGCUUUAGCUACACCAUCUGUAAGAACUUUGAGAGGCAAAACAACUGUAGCAACUGCCCCUAGUUUCAGAUGCAGUGAGCGUGCAGACACUUGUGGAGAGGAGGUACC